GUGGGGAAUUUUGGACAAUGGGCGCAAGCCUGAUCCAGCAAUGCCGCGUGCAGGAAGAAGGCCUUCGGGUUGUAAACUGCUUUUGUACGGAACGAAAAGGCUCUGGUUAAUACCUGGGGCUCAUGACGGUACCGUAAGAAUAAGCACCGGCUAACUACGUGCCAGCAGCCGCGGUAAUACGUAGGGUGCAAGCGUUAAUCGGAAUUACUGGGCGUAAAGCGUGCGCAGGCGGUUUUGUAAGACAGGCGGGAAAUCCCCGGGCUCAACCUGGGAAUGGCGCUUGUGACUGCAAGGCUGGAGUGCGGCAGAGGGGGAUGGAAUUCCGCGUGUAGCGGUGAAAUGCGUAGAUAUGCGGAGGAACACCGAUGGCGAAGGCAAUCCCCUGGGCCUGCACUGACGCUCAUGCACGAAAGCGUGGGGAGCAAACAGGAUUAGAUACCCGGGUAGUCC
rnacentral:rRNA from 1 species